rnacentral:lncRNA from 1 species
GGAUGUGCUGGGCCUGACCAGCCGCCCGCUUUCCUCUUCUCUUGCCUCUGCCUGCCCCCUGGUGGACAGCUGGGGUAAAGCAUGGGAGUGCGCCUUUGGGGUCUCAGUGGGGCUGAAAUACGACUCCUCCCCUAGGACAGCCUGCCUUCCCCAGCCUUGUUCUCCGGCAAAGUCAAUUUCCUGGAGAAUCGAGGCUCUGCCUCAGAUGUUCGGAGCCUCCGCAGGAUGAACACCUCCAUUUCAAUUCCAGGGGCUUUGAUCAACCUGUGCCUCCCUUGAUCCCCAACUUGUGGGCACCUUCCCUUGAGCAGUGCCCCCACGAGGUACACCUUUCCCGGGAAACAAAAAUCAUUCCUUCUUUGGGUCCUGCAAGCUGUAAAGAACCAAUACAGCACUGUGCUACUGAACAUGUUGCCACUAUAGAAGCCCCUUGUGUUUUGAAGAGUACAUCUCUAUAGCCAUUCGUUUAUUCAUCAGAAACCAGCUAGAAGCCAGGCCCUGUGCUGGGCGCUGGAGACAUGGAAGAAACUGGGCUGAGGCUCCCGCCUUGAAGAGCUUGUGGCCCAGGGAAGGGACAGUUCAUCUGUCAUUGAUUGCCACGUGACAGUGUCUAUGAUGCUAAAAAGAUGCCAGUGCUGUGCUGCAGGAGCAAAGGCCGUGGAGGAAGAGGCUUUGGCUUUGUUGCGAGUCCUUGCCAGAGCCAGGCAAAGCCAGUCACCGCUUUGUUCAGAUGACUCAGGUAAAUAAAUGAGGCCGCACAGGCUGUCCUGACACCACACACCUCUAGAAUACCCUGGCUGUGCUGGGAGCUAUUGGUGUCAGCUGAGUAUUUUCAUCCCUGUCCAAGUCACAAUGAUCUGACUGUACCAGCCUGUGUGGAUGUUGCUAAGAGGAGGCAGACAGCACCAUGAGCUCCCUUAGAUGACGAUCGGCAUGAUGUUCCUGCUGUGGCAGCGCUCAGCUCUUGCCAAUGCUCUUCUCUGCUUUGCUCACUUUAAGCCUCCCUUAAUUUUUUUGAAGCCCAGUUUCCACAUUGCUGAUUCACAGAUAUGCAAGACUCAGGCAGGAAAAAAAAAAGUGUCUCCUUUUCCAGACUUCUUAGAGGACUUGGAAAGAAAAUGAAAUGACGUUGAACGAAAUCAAAGUAAAUUGAGUGAUCUGAAACGAUUUGAUGUCAGCAAGAAUUCCCCAUACAGCUCACAGCCCUACCCCGAGCACGCCUCCCUCUUGGGUAUGCUCUCUGCAGGCCCAAACCUUGCAGAAGCCAUUCCAUGUUUCCUGAGCAGGAAAAGACAAACUCAGACCGACAACCUUGGACUUCAAAAGACUGCACACAAGGGGAGGAAGGACUGAGAGUACCAAGGCGUGAGAAUUCAGAAUGCUGCUAUCUCAUUUAUUUUUACCAUUUAGGAAACGUUUUGAUCUGCAUUCCUUUUCCCUUCCCUGAUUUCAAAAAAUAAAAAUAAAAAUGCUUCGGUUCUGAGGAGUAACUCUCCAAAAAAAAAAAAAAA